GGGGUCGUAGUGUAACUUGGCUAGCACGGCAGGCUCCAGACCUGCAAAUCCGAGUUCAAAUCUCGGCGACCCCACCA
rnacentral:tRNA from 2 species